rnacentral:rRNA from 1 species
CCUACGGGUGGCAGCAGUGGGGAAUAUUGCGCAAUGGGCGAAAGCCUGACGCAGCGACGCCGCGUGAGGGAUGAAGGUCUUCGGAUCGUAAACCUCUUUUAGCAGGGAAGAACGGUCACGGUGCUAAUCCGCAGUGAAUUGACGGUACCUGCACAGGAAGCACCGGCUAACUCCGUGCCCGCAGCAGCGGUAAUACGGAGGGUGCUAGCGUUAAUCGGAAUUACUGGGCGUAAAGCGAUCGUAGGCGGUAUGUCAAGUCAAGUGUGAAAUCCCCGCGCUCCACGUGGGAAGGGCCUUUGAAACUGGCAAACUAGAGUGUAUGAGAGGAGAGUGGAAUUCCAGGUGUAGCAGUGAAAUGCGUAGAUAUCUGGAGGAACAUCAGUGGCGAAGGCGGCUAUCUGGCACAUAACUGACGCUGAGGAGCGAAAGCGUGGGUAGCAAACAGGAUUAGAUACCCGAGUAGUC